rnacentral:rRNA from 1 species
UACGAAGGGGGCUAGCGUUGCUCGGAAUUACUGGGCGUAAAGGGCGCGUAGGCGGCAAUUCAAGUCAUCUGUGAAAUCUCCGGGCUUAAACUCGGAACGGUCAGAUGAUACUGCUUUGCUAGAGUGCGGAAGGGGCAAUCGGAAUUCUCGGUGUAGCGGUGAAAUGCGUAGAUAUCGAGAGGAACACCAGAGGUGAAGACGGGUUGCUGGGCCGACACUGACGCUGGAGGCGCGAAAGCCAGGGGAGCAAACGGG